UCGAUAGCAAGCUGGCCUGCUUUAAAAGCUCCUUUAUUUCCUGUAUCAAUUGAUUCUCCUCUGCGGUUCUUGAUUCUCUCUGACAAACAUGUUCAAUUCAAGAGCAAUAAAGUGAGAUUACAAACAUGAUACAUUCAAUGAAACUGAAAUUGGCAAGAGAGUGCUAGAUAUACAUAAUAUCAAGAAAUCAAGAAAUUAUAAUUUGAAACAACAAGAAGAACGAAAGCAAACCCAAAAAAAAUAAAAUCUAGGAUUGCCGUCUAAUCUAUCUAACAGAGUUAAUUUCACAUAUAUCAUUCUCAGAAAACCGGUUGCUUACUAUAAUAUUUCAUCAAUUUACAAUCCUAAAUGAUGAAUGAAUGCCAUGGAUUGAUGAUAUUAUUGAUCUUAUGGCAUCACCUCAAAACUACCUUCAACGUGGCGUGACAUCACCUGCUAUCCUAAUAUCGUUCUAAUGUUAGAUGAAGCCAGCACGGAUUGAAGCCAUUGUCCCAUCAGCAUCAUCAUAAAGUUUCCAUUUAACGAUCUUAAAAACAACUUUGAUUAAGGCAAAAAUGCUUGUUAAAGCUCGAUAGCAUGUCUCAGUUAAAAUGUAGGCUUCACCAGAUGACGCAAGUGCAGAAAGUAAAUGGUGAAUGAGGUCUACAUUCAAAUGGCCUAUGGAGGUACUGUGCAUAAAUUCGAAAGUAAUCACACAAUACACGAACUGUAAUUUGCACCCAUGGAUGAGCUACUGAAGUCUUGAACCUAAUAGCCUAUAAGCGUAUGACCUACUUUUUUGACAACUGUUUUUUCCUCUUACAUCCAUCCAGUCGUGUUUAAUGAAUUGGUGUUUUGGCCCUUUGUAACCCCACGAGUAUUGAGAAAAGAACCCUACCUUUGGUGGCAUGCGGCUGCAAGAGAUUACCCUCUUCACAUCAGCACAUCACAAAGGGCUUCUGUCAAUCUCUCAUUUUUUUUCCUUCUCUCUCUUCUUCUACUCAUCCUCUUUCUCUCUCCCCCUUAUGAAUGUGAGCAAUAAACGAGAUGGAGGCAGGAAAUACAGAUAUGCAAAGAGAAGAAGCAUAACUAGGACAGCCUACAUCCAUGUACUCCAUCCCACAAUCUAGAAAUAGACAAAAUUUAGGAACCUUGAUGAUCCUCUUUUUUCCACCCAUUGUACCACCCCUUGCUCGGAUUAUUUGAAUGUCUUUAUUACACAGGAUUUCCCACUAAUCAUUUUAUGUGGAUGAUGAGGAAUGCCUAGUUACAUGUUAGCAACACCUAAUAAACCGUCUUUAGCUCAAAGGACAUCAACUGGACUGUACCCAGAACCUCCCCCUUCCCAACAAGUAAAACAGAGGUGCAUAGUCCUGACUUGUAACUACGGAUGCAAGUCACCUUAAUAGAUUAACUAACUGACCUUCUGCACACAGCGACAUCAAAUGGAUUGUCUCCUAAGACCACAUUUAUCAAAUGGCUACGACUGAGAAGCCAAACAUUGGUCUUGACAACACCUUUGUAAUCCUGAUAUUUUGAAAGUGGACUACUCUAAAAUGACACCUUCCACUUCAUGCAGCAAACCUCUCAUGCCUCAUGUGUCGCCGAACUCUUCUUUAGCGUUACACAUGCCAAUUGACUCAGAUAGAGAUGCAAAAUUUACCAGCUUCUUCAGGUAACUCAAUGGAAAACCUUUGGUACUUAAGUAAAGCUAUCUGGCUUUCCACCCUUAAAUGAUGAUCUAACAGAAGCGGUCCAUAGGAGACUAUAGCCAAGUGGGACCUGAUUUUACCAACUGCUAUAGACGGCUGAAUUGCGUAUGACAGGUUCACCAAUCAAAUGAUUGGUAAAAACACCUUUCAGGUUGUUCCUGGUACAUCGCCUAGGCUUCCCCUUAAUAUCAUUCCGUUUCGCUUGGAUCCUCAUCCUUCCAAGCUUGCUCAUUCUUUUUCAGAAAAAGUUCAUUAUAUUGCUGACGAAAUUCAUCAUAUGAUCAUCGUAUAUGAACAAAACAAACAAAGGCGCCAUAUCCUCACCCAUGAAACAGGGAUUCAGAGAAAGUGACUCUGUGACGGCAACGCAUCAUUAGCUGGAGAAGCUGCAUCCACAAACUACUGGUUCCUUUCAUGCCAUCAAUAAUUAAGGAUCAAAUGGCUACCCAUUAUGUUUGUCGUCAGACACAAAGAAUACUCUUAUUUUCAAUGUAGAUGAUUUAUUUCAUUAUUUUCUUUGAGCUUUCUCCCCUGUCUUCUGAGAUCCCUGUAGGUCAGGCUGUGAUGGCCUCUUCUACCAUGGGCACCUUUACAUAGAUCUUUUGAAUUCUGGCCUAAGGACAAGACAUUCUCUAAAAGGAAAUUUGCCAUCUCUCAUCAAGUGAAAAGAACAUCCGCCUCAUGAUGCUUCAUGGCAGAUCAAGGAUAAACUUCUUCAGCGUCAAGUUCCUGAAACGACACCAGGAAUAUCAGUAGUCAGGGUUUCUGCCUAGGAGAGGAAUGAUGGGAACUAUGAUCAUCUCAUCCUUCUUCCCGUCCUUCUCUUUCUAUUUCCUUGCUUCUGCUAGCCUAUUGCCACCAUUUGAGCUAUAUAUAUUGCAAAAAUUCCAUUUUUUUUCUAAAAAUGAAUUACCAUCUUCUCUAAUAUCACACUGCAAAGAACCAUAUAUAUAAGAUCUAUCUAGAUUUUUCUGAAGUCUCUUUUUUUCUAGUUCUCGUCAAUCCUCGUUAUAGAGUUUUUAUCUCAUUAUCACCACGUAUCCUAGCAAAUGCAUACAUCUCAUCUGUCACAGAUUGAAGUAGCCCUUCCAAUCAGACUUUUUUGGCUUGUAUCUUCAUCCCCUCGUCCAUCCUUACCAAACUGAUUAAAAUCGUCUCUACCACAAACCUGGCCUGUGAUCCCACACAAUGGGAGUAACUUGCCCUACACACCACUUGAAUGACGUGUAGAAAAUAUUGCCGUCUGAUUUCAGCAUAAUUAUGCACCUAUCUACAGAUACAGAACAUUGAAUUAGAAAAUAAGAAUAAGAUGCGGUUUAACAAAUCAUACAUCCAUGGAUCCCCAAAUGUGUUCACUAUUCUUAAAGAACAAUACAAAAAAAAAACCCCUAAUAACAUUGUUGUUUCCCUCCUUCCUCUCACUGUCUAACCCAAUAACCUAAUAGCUUGGAAUAACAUGAAUACCUUGGUUACACAAGUUUCCUAGUCAUCACUGUUUACUUGAACUCAAAAAGACAUCUAUUGGGUUCCUCCUAAACCCCCUUGCAACCCUUAAAAUUGAGUUCACAGUCAUGAUUUUAACAACUGGCUAAAGUCAACUAAAGCAGCCACUGUCAGCGACUGUCAAAAUCACACACACCUUUUACCAUUUUCAGUUUUUUUCGGAAAAAAUGGAUAUCAAUUUCAGACCCCUCUCUUUUGUGAAGCAACUGCAUAUCAACCGAGCUUCAACAAACAAGCCACAUAACCAAACACAAGGCUCCCCAUUUUGACGCGGAUGUAUACUAGGCUUGGGGUCUCAAGAUAUGAGCCAAAGCCCAUGACUUCCUUGGUCAGCAGUCUUUCUUACUCUUUUCCUCCGAUUUGAAUGUGUAAAGGUUUUUGGAUAGUAAAGUACCCUUUCAUGGAGCCUUAUACAAUACAACGGUUAUACAUAUAUACGGGAUCAAUUUGGAAAACCAAUAGAGAAUAUGAACGAACAAACAGUAUUUAUUGGAAGCAUUCCUCUGAUGAAUUCCCUAGGAACCUUUAUAGUAAAUGGAAUUUACAGAAUAUAUAUUUCAAAAAAUAUACCCACGAAUAGUAUGCUAACCGCCAUAAGAAAUUUAGCACCCGACCUAACAUUCCAAAAAUCAUAUGCUUCCGCAUCUUGAGCUUCCCAAUUGGCGUGCGUCAAGCCACAGAGAAAAAUUCAUCUUUGCAACGUUAUUUUUCUAAUUUGUCAAAUAUAACUUCUGCGCAUGCUAAUUGCUACUCUUUCAUCUGCAAAAAGCAGAACACUCAGAAUAAUAAAAUGUUACCCACAACGGGAAUGGUACACUUCCAACCCUUUCGAAUUUCUCACCGGAAAUUUGUUCGUUGUCGGGUGUUUGCCACAAAUUAGGCCAUUCAAUGCUCUGGAUGACAUAUGCUUUCUAAUUCUUAAUGUCGUCAUUAUUUUUUGAUCAAGAUUAUCAAACUACAUGACCAAACAUAGAGACCAACAUACAGAAAAAAAACAGCCUGCGAGAAAAAAUCUAUGCCUUUAGAUUUGCAAUCUCGACCCUAAUCAACAGCAUAUCUAAAUGAAGUACAUUCAACCCUAGCAGGGAAUCAGAGUCUUCAUGAAAAUAGCUCUCAAAUCAAGGAACACAGAAGAUACAUAGAGAAACCCUAAAUUUCAUAAUCCCAAAAAUAUGAAGAACCCACCGGUGAUACGGAUGGGCGAGGAGAUGGGGGCAACCUUUUUGAGACGGCCGAUGCGUCGAUCAACGAGCUGAAGGAUCCCGACGAGGAGAAAUAUGGCCGCUGGCCAGGGGAAGAGAACUCGACCAUCCUCUAGGGCUCCGUCACCCAUCUCCUGAGCAAAACGAAUAGACCGAGGAAUCCUUCGCCUUUCCAACUCCCUCCACGGGGCUUCCUUUUUCCGCUCGG
rnacentral:lncRNA from 1 species